UUUGACCAGUGUACCUAGUCAUCCACUUUCUGUAGAGGGAAGUGGCUUGAGGUAAAGUAUAUAUCAACUCAUUGGUAGUGGUGAAUAGCUUGGUUGAAUUUCUUAGGGUCCUGGAAAAAUAAAGCCUGAAAAAAUCAGGGACCAAGUGGUAUGGGGAAGAAGCAUAUGGAUUUGCACUAACCAUGUCUCAUUAUUCUGUAUUUUUGAUGUUUUGACAUCUUGGUCUGACCCUAGGAUGACUACCCCUCCUAGGGCUAGCUAUUUCCUGGAGAUAGCAAACAACUCACCUGCAACUGCACCUUUAAUGUAUAAACCAACCACCUCCUCUAUCAGGCUCUGACAUUCUGGGCCACUGUGCCUCUGCCCUAAUCACUCCAGAGCCAGGUACAAGACUACUAGAGAUAGUCCCUAAACUCCAGAGUCUGCUGUAAUUAUUCAAACUAGCCAGUCCCAAACAUCCUUAUCCUGUCUUAGUUACUCUUCCCCACAGAAACCACAAUAAAAUAUCUUGCCAUUUUCCCCCUCUCCCUCUGCCUCCUGAUUGACCAUGGUGCUUCCCUGUGUGACUCCCCGUGGUAUGGACUGCAACCUCCUCCUGGGAUCUAAUGACCAGAAGAGUCCUCUAGUGACAAUGUUGAAAUAUGAUGAAUCCUGUAACAUGAUAAUAGAAGAAUUUAUUUACCAGAAUGCCUCUGAGGUCACUGGCCUUUUGAAACAUCCACGAACCACGCUGCUAUCCGGUAUGUUUGGCUGCCCCCUCUUCUGUACUUCAUGGGCCUUGGUCAGGCAUCAAUGCAACAUAUGUCUGAAUGUCUCCCCAAACGAACUGUGAGGGCCUUG
rnacentral:lncRNA from 1 species